AUGGUAGUUCGCGGUGGAGGGUUUGUCGCUUUCACAGAUACAUCAACAUGCUUCCCAGGAGUGCCAGGAGCUUAUAGUGAUUAUGAAGCUUUGAAAGCGUAUCCAAACUGUGAUACUGUGCCAUGUGACAAUUACGAAGUUGUAUUUAAGUUGAAUUGUGGUUGGUUGAUAAAGCGGUUAUACCAAUUGAAAAUUAUGUGGAUGGAAGCAUCCACUGCAAUUAUGACUUACUUCUUCGACAUAUAUUACACAUUGUUGCUGAGGUGCAACGGCGUGUUAACCAUUGUCUCUUAG